GUAGUUGAACUUCUGGCUGUUGCGUUCGCCGGCUUCGGUCGCGUCCGUAGCGGUCAUCCGCUUGGGAACUCCAUUCGAACUUUACUGUUCGGUGGAAGGAACAGGCAUUUUACUUUGAAAAAAUUAGAGUGUUCAAGGCAGGCUAUCGCCCUGAAUACACAAGCAUGGAAUAAUGAAAUAGGACUUUUUCCAUUUUACUGGUUAUUGGAAUUAGUAAUGAUUAAUAGGGACAGUUGGGGGCAUUAGUAUUUAAUAGUCAGAGGUGAAAUUCUUGGAUUUAUUAAAGACUAACUUAUGCGAAAGCAUUUGCCAAGGAUGUUUUCAUUAAUCAAGAACGAAAGUUAGGGGAUCAAAGACGAUCAGAUACCGUCCUAGUCUUAACUAUAAACUAUACCGACUAGGGAUUGGCCGGGAGUUUUCAACCCGGUCAGCACCUUAUGAGAAAUCAAAGUCUAUGGGUUCUGGGGGGAGUAUGGUCGCAAGGCUGAAACUUAAAGGAAUUGACGGAAGGGCACCACCAGGAGUGGAGCCUGCGGCUUAAUUUGACUCAACACGGGAAAACUUACCAGGUCCGGACAUAGUAAGGAUUGACAGAUUGAUAGCUCUUUCUUG
rnacentral:rRNA from 1 species